rnacentral:misc_RNA from 1 species
GAUGAAGAACGCAGCGAAAUGCGAAAAGUAAUGUGAAUUGCAGAAUUCAGUGAAUCAUCGAAUCUUUGAACGCACAUUGCGCCCGCCAGUAUUCUGGCGGGCAUGACUGUCUGAGCGUCAUUUCAACCCUCACGCCCCUAGGGCGUGGUGUUGGGGAUCGGCCAAGGCCCGCAAGGGACGGCCGGCCCCUAAAUCUAGUGGCGGACCCAUCGUGGCCUCCCCUGCGAAGUAGUAAUAUAUUCCGCAUCGGAUAGCGAUGAGCCCCUGCCGUUAAACCCCCAACUCUUUCAAGGUUGACCUCAGAUCAGGUAGGAAUACCCGCUGAACUUAAGCAUAUCAAUAAGCGGAGGA